UUUGACUGAGCUUGUAAAUAAGUUACCUCCUGAUCAUCUCAUUGAAGCUGACGGAAAAGUAAUCAGAAAGCGAAGCUAGUUAGCUUCACGCGUAUACAAGCUACAGCUUCGUCUUUAACCAAAUACUCCAUGAAGCUAUAGUCCGUCGGUUAAACAUGAACGAUCCGGACACCGCAGCGAUCCUGCCUGAAGAUCUGCUCGGCGCCUCUUCGACAGACGACCUACAUUCCGAAUCAGUCGGCCACCAAGAAGAGGAUAGUGUACCGGCUACCAGGACAUGCAAACUACCGAUGCCCGUGGAGCCGGUGCUCUUCCUCUCCAUGUUUUCUCUGGCCCUUCAGACACCUCUGUCCACCCAGUAUCUUUGGGACCGAAUCAGUGAAGACCUCGGCUACAACGGCUCCAAGAGGUCAGAGUGCAGCAACAGCUCGGUGCCUGCUGACCCUCUGCAGAAGGAGGUGGAAACCUUGACAGCUCACUGGAACCUCUACAUCAACCUAGCAGGCUUUUCUGUCGGAGUGUUGGUGGUGCCUCUCCUGGGCUCGUGGAGUGACCUUGCAGGUCGCAGACCCGUUCUCAUCCUUCCCAACCUUGGCCUGGCUCUGCAAGCAGUGGUUUAUCUUGUGGUGAUGUACCUCAAGCUGCCUGUGGUCUACUUUUUAGUGGGGAGGCUGCUUAGUGGCCUCUCAGGGGAUUUUAAUGCUAUCCUGGCUGGCUGCUUUGCAUAUGUGGCUGAUAUCAGUGAUAGGAAGUCCCGAACUUUCAGGGUAGCAGUCUUGGAGGCUUGUCUGGGUGUCGCAGGGAUGUUUGCCAGCAUCAUUGGAGGGCAGUGGCGACGAGCACAAGGUUACAUCAACCCGUUUUGGCUGGUCCUUGCAACAAGCUUGGCAUCAGCUCUUUACGCUUACCUGUGUGUACGUGAGUCUGUCCAUCCAGACCCAAGUGCUAAGCUCCUCACCACACGCCACCAUAAAGCUGUCUGGCACCUCUACUCAACAGGAGGCAGCAGCAGUGAAGGUGGCACAAGAUUUCACAGGUGCAAGCUGUGGCUUUACACCCUCUGCUUCUUUCUGGUAGUGGCCAUACACUUCGGCAGCAGAGAGCUGUACGUGCUGUAUGAGCUGAGCUCACCGCUGUGCUGGGGGUCGGACCUCAUUGGCUAUGGAUCAGCAGCUCAGAAUCUGGCCUACCUGAGCAGUCUGCUGGGGCUGAAGAUCAUGCAGCGCUGUCUGGAGGACUCCUGGGUGGCUCUUGUGGGUCUGGCUUCUAAUAUUAUUGGGCUGGUGGUCUUUUCUGUAGCUGAUUCCACCCAGCUUAUGUUCACAGGUUACGGUUUGUGUUUCCUCUUCAUGGCUACAACUCCUGUGCUUAGGUCAAAGUUAUCCAAGUUGGUGGACCCAUCGGAGCAAGGUGGUCUGUUUGCUGCUGUUGCCUGUGUGGAGAGCUUGUGUUUUCUGGUGGGGAGUAGCGUCUUUAACUCCCUCUAUCCAGCCACUCUGCACUUCAUGAAGGGCUUCACUUUCCUUUUUGCUGCCCUCAUCCUCUUCAUUCCUGCUGGAAUAAUUGGGACUCUGCAAUGUAUGGACCAGAGGAGAGGCUACAGAGACUCCACAGCAUCAUGACUGGGGGAGAAGCAGAGACCAGGACCCAAGCAGAGAGUUGGAGUUCAUUCUGAUGUUAGUUGGACACGAGAGAUGGAGCAUGUCCUAGCUACCACUGGGUGAGAUGCAGGCUGCCUGCCUGAACAGGUCACCAGCCUAUCUCAGGGACAACACAGAUGCUCACAGGGUCAGUUUCAGAUCCAAUUAACUGAUCAUGCAUGUUUUUUUUAGUUGUGGGAGGAGUACUCUGAGGAAAAAGGCUGAGAUUUAAACCAGGAACAUUCUUGCUGUGAAAGAUCAGAGGAAGCCACCACACAGCCAUGCAACACUGAUAUGUUAACUGGUGAUAUAUGAAAUGUGCAAAAUGAGCAUUAAGUCAUCUCAACUUACAACAGCAUAAAAUAAACCAUCAACAUAAAGACCAUUGUGAAUCUCCAAGGGAAGCUAUCAGUCUUGCAGUAAAUAGGUGGAAACCCUGCAUUGAGAGGACAAGUCAGUUUUAAAAUGCACAAAUAGAAGUUAUUAUUAGGUAACCUGUUAACUGUUACUGUGAAUUUAACUACAUGCAGAUCAUGAGUGCCGCUGGGUUGCAGAUUUGUUAGUUAUUUGUUGUCAAAGCCAUUUUUCACUUGUGUGCCAAGAAUGACCAGAGCAACACUGCUCUUUGUCACAGUCAAUUCUGCAGCAGUCGUAAGUUUGAAAACUUAUGACCAUUUUUUUGUUAGUGUUCAGAAAUGUUGGUUACUUUAAGUAAAAAAGAAUUCUGAUUAGUGUUUUAAUAAAUACACUUGAGCACAUUUAUUAAAUGUAGUUCAUGAAGUGGCCGCUAGAGGUAAACAGCAUUCAGGGAAGAUCAGAUUAAGUCCUGAAGUAGAGUUCAGGUUGUAUUUUUAAAGAUCACAUUUAUAACUGAAAUUUUAAGCCUUUGUGUGCCUAUAGAAAUGUAAAUUUCUUUUUAUUCAACUUAUUGUAAUAUGUUAACAAUAAACUUGGCCAGUACCUCCUGA